rnacentral:rRNA from 1 species
UACGUAGGAGGCGAGCGUUGUCCGGAUUUCUUGGGCGUAAAGAGCGCGCAGGCGGCACCUCAAGUACGCAGUGAAAUCUCCCUGCUCAACGGGGAGGGUGCAGCGUAAACUGGGGAGCUAGAGGACGGUAGAGGGGGGUAGAAUUGCUGGUGUAGCGGUGAAAUGCGUAGAGAUCAGCAGGAAUACCCGUGGCGAAGGCGGCCCCCUGGGCCGAACCUGACGCUGAGGCGCGAAGGCUAGGGGAGCGAACGGG